rnacentral:rRNA from 1 species
AGGACGAACGCUUGCGACGUGCCUAAGAAAUGCAAGUCGAACGGGGUAGCAAUACCUAGUGGCGAACGGUCGCGUAACACGUGGGCAACCUGCCCUGAAGCGGGGGACAACAACUCGAAAGAGUUGCUAAUACCGCAUGUGAAUCGCUGUGGCAUCACAGAGGAUUCAAAGCCGCAAGGCACUUCAGGAUGGGCCCGCGGCCUAUCAGCUAGUUGGUGAGGUAACGGCCCACCAAGGCUUCGACGGGUAGCUGGUCUGAGAGGACGAUCAGCCGGAUUGGGACUGAGAUACGGCCCAGACUCCUACGGGGGCAGCAAUUAGGAAUCUUGCGCAAUGGGCGAAAGCCUGACGCAGCGACGUCGCGUGAAGGAUGAAAUCUUUCGGGAUGUAAACUUCUUUUUCGGGGAAGUAAUUAAUGACGGUACCCGAAGAAGUAAGCCCGCUAACUACGUGCCAGCAGCCGC